rnacentral:tRNA from 1 species
GGGCCUGUAGUUUAACCUGGAUAGAAUACUUGGCUUCGAACCAAUUGAUCUCGGUUCAAAUCCGAGCAGGCCCG